rnacentral:rRNA from 1 species
UACGGAGGGUGCGAGCGUUGUUCGGAAUCACUGGGCGUAAAGCGCGUGUAGGCGGUCUGGCAAGUCUGGUGUGAAAGCCCGGGGCUCACCCCCGGAAGUGCACUGGAAACUGCCAGACUCGAGUCCCGGAGAGGAGAGUAGAAUUCCUGGUGUAGCGGUGAAAUGCGUAGAUAUCAGGAGGAAUACCGGUGGCGAAGGUGGCUCUCUGGACGGUGAUUGACGUUGAGACGCGAAAGCGUGGGGAGCAAACAGG